rnacentral:rRNA from 1 species
AGGACGAACGCUGGCGGCGUGCUUAACACAUGCAAGUCGAGCGACAGUGCCUUUCGGGGUACAUGGAGCGGCGAACGGGUGAGUAACACGUGGGCAACCUGCCCUCAGCUCUGGGACAACUCCGGGAAACCGGGCUAAUACCGGAUACGACCUUGGGAGACAUCUUCUGGGGUGGAAAGUUUUUCGGCUGAGGAUGGGCCCGCGGCCUAUCAGCUUGUUGGUGGGUAAUGGCCUACCAAGGCGACGACGGGUAGCCGGCCUGGAGAGGGCG